UACCAGCACCCCGAGUGGUCGGGACGAUUAUUGGGCCUAAAGCAUCCGUAGCCGGUUCUGCAAGUCUCCCGUUAAAUCCAACUGCUCAACAGGUGGGCUGCGGAGGAUACUAUAGAGCUAGGAGGCGGGAGAGGCAAGCGGUACUUAGUGGGUAGGGGUAAAAUCCGUUGAUCCAUUGAAGACCACCAGUGGCGAAGGCGGCUUGCCAGAACGCACUCGACGGUGAGGGAUGAAAGCUGGGGGAGCAAACCGG
rnacentral:rRNA from 1 species